rnacentral:lncRNA from 1 species
GGCAUAAUAAACAUUACACACACACAAAUGCAUACAAGACAGAGAUAUAUAGAGCGAGGCAAUCAUCAUGUAGCUAAGAGGGGAAGAGAGUUUUCAUAUAAAAUGUCAAAAAUUGAAGAAAGAUUCAAAUAGAGCUAGUGUCAUAAGGUAACCAACCCAACAUGUAAUUAAUUGCACUUGGUCCUGCUUCCAUUCCAUGAUUUUGAUGCCCCUGAUACCUGCUACACCGUUACGGAAAGUUUUACUUAAGAUAUGCUAAAAAGAAAAUAUUUUACGUACACAGCACAAACUAGCUAGAGAUAAAAAAAUUGAUUAAUCACAUAAAGAGUGAGUUAGUUACCCCAUUUGAAGAAUGGGUUCGCAUUCCAAAGGCUGGAAGAAAGCAUGAUGAGAGUGUUGCUGUUGAUCAUGACGACCAUAGUCAACAUGACGAUCUUCUUGACUCGGGUUGAGUUGAAGUGGCAUUUGAUAUCCAUCAGCUAACUGUCACGUACAUGUACUUGUUAGCGGAAUAAUUAUUUUUUUUGAACAAAUUAGCGGAUUAAUUAAAUACUUAGUAAUUACCAAAUCAAUAAACAUUCUUGAAUUAUUGUGAAUGAUUAGGACAUUACCCUUAGCCUGAGAGUUUUAUUUGUCUCAUUUAACAUGCGUUCCUGCUCCAAAUAUUCAUAUAUAAGAGAGUGAGCUAGCUAGUAUUUUUAGAGUAUAUGUCAUUUGUUUCAUCAUUCUAUUCUUUUUUUUCUUUUAUUACCUUACUCUGGAGAUCAUUGAGCUGGUCGAGCAUGAACUGUGUCUGCAAAUUUGAUAUAGGGUCUUAAUUAAUAUAGACUUCAUAGUGGUAUAUGAUGAGAGAAAUGAAAGUAGUACCCGGAGAGCUCUGAUCUGCUUCAAAGAAGAGUCAAGCUGUCUCUCAAGUAACUCAAGCUCCUUUGUACUAAGAGGUCCAAGAUCUUCUCCCAAUAGAUUCCUAUUAUUUCAAGACAGAAGUCAUCACAAAUCCGUAAGGAAAAAACAAACUCUAGCAGUACCUUAAGGAGUUGAUUAGUUGUACCUUUGGGUUCUUUGUAAGGCUUCGUAACGCUCCUUAAGCUUAAGAUACUCCUGUUGGCUACUAAGUUCCUGCUUACCAAAAAGUUACCAUUACUGGAUUUGAAUUAACCAAAGGAAUUCAUGACUUUGUCUAAGCAUAAAAAGGUAAGGAAGAGAAGGAGGGGACGGUACAACUGCUAAGGCCUCUCUUGAAGGUACAUUGGGCUCUGGAGGUCCAUAGUUGCACUUUUGGUAUCUCUCCAGUGUCCGGAUCAUGCUGCAUCACACCAUUAACUAAUUAGUCAUUUAUCAAAAUCAACUUUUAGAAAGAAUAUCUGGGAGUAAUUUCAGAGAAGAUCUAUCUCAAUUAAGAACCCAGGGAUGAAUCUAUCUGAAGUAAAGAUCCAAUGGAUAAGAUGAAUUUGACAUUGUAAUCCCUAAGGCUUACAAAAACGGGUAGCCCUAGCUAGCUAGCUAGCUACUUGAAUCACCCCCAAAACUUUCUGAAUUUGACUGCAAAAUUGAUGAAUGAUUUGAUUUCAUAAUGUGGCAGAACUCUUUUAGAAGAGAAGAAAAUAUUAAUUAGAAAACCGUAAUUAACUAAUAUCACCACCAGAGAAAUUAACCCUAAUUUCCUAUAAGAUUAUCAAAUGCCUCUUCUGUGAUAAAUCUAAAACUCAAUGUAUCAAAUAAUAUAGAGAAUCUAAAUAUAUAUAUAUAUCAAAGCUAUUUAAUUAAUCUAGUAAAAUGAUCAGAAAUGGGUAUUCAUUUCCUCUUUGCUUUUCUUUUAAAGGAUGAAAGAAAACGUGCGACACAACAACACAUCAGAUGACACUACAACAUAUGUAACUUCUUUUGUUUACUUAUACAAAAAUCAAACCAAUAGAUAAAAAUGGAUAUAUAAACAAUACCUGGAACUACUGCAAAACUCGUACAGUUUUCCUCGAUUAGAGAAGAUGAUGAGAGCAACCUCUGCAUCACAUAGAACCGAAAGCUCGUAUGCUUUCUUCAAAAGGCCAUUUCUUCUCUUUGCAAACGUCACUUGCCUAUUGAUCUUGUUCUCUAUCCUCUUCAAUUCUACUCUCCCUCUUCCCAUUCUCCUCUUCUUUCCUUCUCUCUUCUUCUUCUCUUUUACUUUGCAAUUCCUCAUAUAUAUAUAUGAAUGAGCUUCUCUCUCCUUCUUUUUUUCUUAUUUGCUUUCUAUUUUUUCUUUUAUUUUCUAACUUUUUAAAUGUGUACAUGUAUAUCUUUGUAAAAAUGUAUCUAUAUAUCUCUAAGUACAUUAACAUUUCGUCAGCUUGACUAGUUGAAUCUUUUAACUAUAUUCUCUUUAUCUAUACCCCCUCAAUUAUUGUACUACUACUCAGUAACGAAUCCAAACUGAUUUCUGAGUGGGUGCACGUACACAGUAUAAAUUUACGAAUAAUAAUAUCUGUUUAUAUAAAAUUAGGCUAAGAAACACACUAUUUUUUAAAAUGUUAUGGGCGCAUGUGCAUACCCUCUCUCCUUACUAGCAUGUGCAUACCCUCUCUCCUUACUAGCUUCGCCCCUGCUACUACUCACAAUUUACAAAACACCACAUAGGAUUUAUGAAAAUCUUGCAAAACAUGGAAUGUUAAUUACUCUAUCACCGCUUAGAUAUUUUUUCAAACUUUGGAGAAUAUCGGGACUUUUCUUUGUUUGUCUAUACAUAAAUGGUAAGAGAAAGUGUUCCACUUAUCUCCUCAAACACUAGUUGUGGUUUCAGUUUAAAUAUUUAGUUUAGAAAAAGUGAUUUUGGCCCUGUUAAAGAAAGUUGCAUUCUUUUUUUUUUUACUUCGAUCACGAGUUAUUAAGGUUUAACUAAAAUUCCUACAUAAAAACCCUAACAUUUAAAAACCAUUAAAUUAAAGCUUUAAUUAAUAUUCCCUCCGUUUCUUAAUGAUAGACUUUCUAAAAAAACGCUUGUUUCAUAAAGAUGUAUUUUUUGUGUUUUCUAUGAAAAAAUUGUAAAUUUUAAGAAAAUUAAUUGACUUUAUUGAAUUACUAUUGGUUAAAAGUUAUUGAAAAUUGAAAAUUAUAGAAAAUGAUAUAUUUAUUAUGGUAGUUUAAUGUGUUUUCUUAAUAUGUGUGAAAAUACUAAAAAUUUUAUCUUUUAAAAACGGAAGGAGUAUGUUCUCGAGAGACGGAGAUAUUUAAUUAGAUGAGAGAUUAAAUCAACGGUUGGAAAUCAAUGAUGAGAGGAGAGAUAGCGCGUGGGAUAUGAGUUGAUGGCAACCCUAAACUGAUAGUGUAGGACAAUGGAUGAUAUUCAACACGUGUCAAUCUCUGGAUGGUAAGCUUUGAUAAAUCCACCUGAUUUUUAUUUAUUUUAAUUGUUUUACUUUUCUAAUCGAGUUCAUUGAAUCAUGUGACCUAACCUUAACUAGGUGAAGCCCUGUACGAUUUUCUCAACUUACUGAAUUACCCCUGUGAAUUGUGAUUGGUGAAAAAUGUAGAGUAAAACAUACCCUUUUUAUGUUUCGUUAAUGGUGUGAUGAUAUUUAAUGGGCUUAUUCUUGUAAUAGCCAGAGAGAUAGACUGAGUGAAGUAACAUUGAUUUUGACAUAAUUCAAUGUCAAACAUUUGUAUCUUAUGCUACAAAAAAAUAGGGGGAUUCUGAUGGCCGAAAUCGUCGGAAAUUCGUCGGAAUAGACUGAUUCCGACGAAUUUCCGACGAACCCGUCCGUCGGUACUGUUUCGUCGGAAAAAAAAAUUCGUCGGAAUUUCGUCAGAACUUCCGACGACUUUCUGACGAAUACCGAGAAACGUCAUUCUGACGAACUUCCGACGAUAUUACGAUGCGGAUACACGAGACCAGAGUUCAUCUGAAAAACUACGUACCGACGGAGAAAAUAGAUGCCAGAGAAGUCGUUUUCUUCAUUUUUUUUUUUUUUUUGGCUAUUUGACUUUUACGGCUAGUUUGAAAUCAUAUAACACGAGUUUUAAAAGAAGAAAACAUGUUGUGCCUCCAAAUUGUUACACCAAAUAAGAAAAGUUAAUAAUGCAUCUGCACUUUACAGACUUGUCUAUUCAAUCCAGCUCUUAGGGUUGAAAAACAACAAAUUUGUAAUAGUGAAAUUAAUUAAGGGGAUUAACAAUUUUCCUGACAAUUUGUUGAUAGUUAACAAAUAUUUUAAUGACAAUUAUUGAAAGGUUCAUUAUAGAGAAGUAAUAUAUAUUGCAAAAUCUUUGAAAUUUUUAUUAGUCAUGAUCAGUUUUACUAAGAUUUUGAUUGGUAGAGCAUUAGCUAGCAGUAUGCUAUAGAAGUAAUAUGUUGCAGGAGUUGUAUGCUUUUGUUAAACAAUUUAAUAGGAUGAUUGGUAAAACAAUAUGAAUAUGCUAUUUAAAAUUAUUAUAAAAAUUAGUAUAUACUGCGGGAGCUGUAUGCUUUUCUAACAAUUAUUGAUCGGAGAAUAUAGAUCAUGAUGCUAAUGAUAAUGCUCUACUAUCAAGACCUAACUGUACGUACACUCUAAGAAUCAGAUACUUCAUUUACUGUAAUAUAUAUACUUCUAAAUUCUCUUAGCAGUUAGCUCUCUUCUUGUAAUCAAUUUUUUUUAUUUUUCUGAUUUUGGUUUGGCUAAGGUCGGUCUACUCAAAUUUUUGGCAAGUUCGUGGAAGAUGAGUCCUCCUUCGGCCUUGCAUAAGAAGUAGCCCAGAUAAUAUCAGGUGUGGGCCUAUAUAUAGAUAAAUUAACCAAUGGGUUUCUCCUUAACAGGCAGUUAACAACUUCAUGUUGAUUUUCAUACAUACAAGAGCCUCUGGAUAAGCUAGUGUGAGUUAUACUCUCUGUCCACUAUACAUUAUAGCUCAUUGUUAAAAUAUAUAUUUAAACAAAAGUCUUACCCUUACUACAUAACACAAAAUGGGAAUUAGAAAGAUUUUGGAGCUGGAAGCAUAUACUCUCUACUUAACACAAAUUUAUCUAUAGAAGCCAUAAGGGAAUAUGUAUACAUGUACUCAAGAUUUUAGUGUGACGGUGUUGGAGCAUUGGGAGUAAUGUGUCCAAAAAAAUUAUUUAAUUGUAGAAGGGCAUAAUAAACAUUACACACACACAAAUGCAUACAAGACAGAGAUAUAUAGAGCGAGGCAAUCAUCAUGUAGCUAAGAGGGGAAGAGAGUUUUCAUAUAAAAUGUCAAAAAUUGAAGAAAGAUUCAAAUAGAGCUAGUGUCAUAAGGUAACCAACCCAACAUGUAAUUAAUUGCACUUGGUCCUGCUUCCAUUCCAUGAUUUUGAUGCCCCUGAUACCUGCUACACCGUUACGGAAAGUUUUACUUAAGAUAUGCUAAAAAGAAAAUAUUUUACGUACACAGCACAAACUAGCUAGAGAUAAAAAAAUUGAUUAAUCACAUAAAGAGUGAGUUAGUUAC